GAUGAAGAACGUAGCGAAAUGCGAUACGUAAUGUGAAUUGCAGAAUUCAGUGAAUCAUCGAGUCUUUGAACGCACAUUGCGCCCGGCAGCAAUCUGCCGGGCAUGCCUGUCCGAGCGUCAUUUCUUCCCUCGAGCGCGGCUAGCCCUACGGGGCCUGCCGUCGCCCGGUGUUGGGGCUCUACGGGUGGGGCUCGUCCCCCCCGCAGUCCCCGAAAUGUAGUGGCGGUCCAGCCGCGGCGCCCCCUGCGUAGUAGAUCCUACAUCUCGCAUCGGGUCCCGGCGAAGGCCAGCCGUCGAACCUUUUAUUUCAUGGUUUGACCUCGGAUCAGGUAGGGUUACCCGCUGAACUUAAGCAUAUCAAUAAGCGGAGGA
rnacentral:misc_RNA from 1 species